rnacentral:rRNA from 1 species
CAGCCGCCGCGGGAAUACCGAGGGUGCAAGCGUUAAUCGGAAUUACUGGGCGUAAAGCGCGCGUAGGUGGUUCGCCAAGUUGGAUGUGAAAUCCCCGGGCUCAACCUGGGAACUGCAUCCAAAACUGGCGAGCUAGAGUAUGGUAGAGGGUGGUGGAAUUUCCUGUGUAGCGGUGAAAUGCGUAGAUAUAGGAAGGAACAUCAGUGGCGAAGGCGACCACCUGGACUGAUACUGACACUGAGGUGCGAAAGCGUGGGGAGCAAACAGGAUUAGAUACCCGGGUAGUCCCUGUCUCUUAUAC